GCCGAGGGGCGGCCCCGGCGGCUGUUGGCGUGCAGGAGCCCCGCGGCCAUUAUCCCGCCGGCGAGCGGGGACGGGCCGCCCCUGGGCAUGGCGGCCUUCCGCCCGCCGCGGCGGCGCCGGGGAGGAGCACAAGAGAACACCAGGGAAAGCACCAAGACGUUCCAUGUCAUUUCUGCAACUGAAAUGGUGGUGGAAAGCAUCUUUCAGCAGCGGUGCAGGGAAGCACGUUGAAGAGGUGGCAGGCUUCCAGUGGAAAUAGUGCCAAAGGAAGAACAGCAGCCCAGAGGAGAUUUCACACUUUACAGCAAUAUUUAAAGCAUUCUGAAUCUGAUUAGGGGAUAUGGCUGAAAGUCACAUAGCUUCCUGCUCCUACACGACGUUUUUUAAAAGCUGUCAGAGCAAAAAAUGAAAUAUUGGAACUAAAGCCCCUAAGCAAGUUCCAGCUUCAGUUCAGUACUCCGAUGUAGUGUCAGUCAGCAUGCAAACACCUACUGCGACGCCUGGAUUCACAAGUGCCAUAAGCCACCUUUAGAUCAAAAGUGCCAUUCAAUUUUUCUCACUGUAAAUCUCUUUUAUAAAUUUCUCCAGAUGUACUUUGAGAUCAGAAUUUGACUUACAGGCAUUAUCUCUGACAAACAAAGGGGAAAGGGUGAAUGUGUAGCACUGUGGCAUCAGGAGGAAAAAAAGAUAUUGCAGAUGUACUGCUUUUUUCAGAUGUAAUAGAAGUAGCGAAUGAACAAACCAACCUUCUGUCAGAAAAAAACAUACAAAGAUGAUGAGUCCUGAAGAAGAAUGCCUUCUGUGUGUAUAACAAAAAGCGUAUUUUGCUGCUCAUAGCUAUAUAUACACACAUACACACAUACAGACAUGGGUACAUAAAUAUUCAGAACAGGUGCAAAUUUGUCUUAAAAGGUAUUCCGUAUUAGCUCACUACAUUUUCAUUACAAAUACUCUGAGGUAAAAGAUCUCCCUGAGAAACCUCUCAAGCCCUCUUUUCCUGAUUUCCACACUAUUCUAGGUAAGGGAGAGAAAGAUGGAUUUAAUAAAGGUGCAGCACACAGGAGUGCUGGUAAGAGAUCUCACUUUUCUUUUUUUGGCUUGGAAUCACUGGCUUUGUCUCAGUUUGGCAAAAGAGUAUAUCCUUCAUGAUAUAAUUCAUAUCAGUAUCCUCUGCCUCCAGCCCCAGUGUUACACUUUCUAUUUUUCCUGGUUUUUUUUCUUUUAAUUAAAUGGAUAUAAAAUAUAAUGUCUAAACAACAAAAAGGAACCAAAAAAAGCGCACAGGUAUCAGAUCCAGCUAAUAGAACACAUCGCCGUGUGGGUUCAGAAUCAAGGCCAGACGAGGAAGCCUCUCCCCUGAGGAGAAGACAAUUUCCUUGCCACUGUGCUAAGGUUAUUGCAAUGCCAGCAUCCCUAAAUAACCACGCACUGCGUCUUACCAACCCUUUGUCUCUCUCCCCGUCCUUUUGGUUGGAUUGUAUAGCUGCCAAGUGCGGGGCUGGACUGUGUAGAGACUCAAUAGUUGGUAGAAGCUCUUUAUAGAGCUGCUUUUUCAAAAUAAAAAAAAUAUAUAAAUGAGAGAGAGAAAGAGUAAUGAAGUUCUUUAAUUAACGUGGAGCGUACCCUCAGGCUUUGCCCGUAGGUUCAGAGCACUGUCUGUCGUGAGCCCAUUGCACUGACAGGUGGUCUGGGGCUGGGAGAAGCAGAAAUCUCCCAGAGGAACCUGUCAGUCAACACGGAUCGGUGUUGAUUCCUCCUGUUAGGUAAUUGCUCAAGUAGAAGGCUGUCCAAAUUGUUCAGGAUUCAAGAAGAACUGUUCAAAUAAAAAACUAUCUAUCUAAUCUUGCAGUGCUGCUAUUUUUAAGAUGGUUUAAACGUUUAAAAAAAAAAAAAAAAGUGCCCCGGAAAAAAAUAUUUCAAUUAUCAAGAUGAUCAUCACAGAUCACCAUCAGUGGAAGUUGAACAUUGAGGUCAGAUGACUUCUUUACGAAGCAGCUGCACCGAACGGUCUCACUGGUGUCUAGCCUGCAAAUGACCGGGGAAGCUGCACGGCUAACGCUGCAAAGGCACACCACUGAUGCAAAAGCUCUGCUCUCAAGCUCAACUGCUUCUCUCUGGCUGCUAAAAAGGAAAAGGAAAUGUAGUUACACAAAAGGGAGUUUGAAAAAUGGUGAAUUUUGCUACUUAAUUCUGAAUUGGAGUUAUCAUCUGUAGCCAUUACGUGCAUUUGACUAACCCCCAGAAUGCUCUCUAACAGCCUUGCAAAGAAAUCUUCAAAGAAACCCUGGGAUCAAGGCAGUGUAAGCACAAGCUUUAAGUCAGCUUUGUGUGACAGCUUCUGAUUUAUGCUUUCAAACGGAUCCACAGAUCUCUGCCUCCGUUUGUUAGUUACCACUUGCAAAAUACAUAAGGGCAUGCAGUGCCUUAAUAUACCUCUCCCAGAAGAAUAAAAUCUUUAUAUAUAUUAGAUGAUUUGGAGAAGACUUACAUUUUCCUUAAGACUGGAUUUAAGAAAAGACUAUCUAGAAGCUUCUUUUUUAAUUAAUUGCAAAUUCUGUAGCAUUCUAGACAACUUUUAUGUCCAAAUUUGUCCUCACUAAGUCUAUUUAACUACUACCAUUUUCAUAUAAACAUUGAUAAACAUGGCUAAGAAUGAAGCGUUGAAU